rnacentral:rRNA from 1 species
GACGAACGCUGGCGGCGUGCUUAACACAUGCAAGUCGAACGGAAAGGCCCUGCUUUUGUGGGGUGCUCGAGUGGCGAACGGGUGAGUAACACGUGAGUAACCUGCCCUUGACUUUGGGAUAACUUCAGGAAACUGGGGCUAAUACCGGAUAGGAGCUCCUGCUGCAUGGUGGGGGUUGGAAAGUUUCGGCGGUUGGGGAUGGACUCGCGGCUUAUCAGCUUGUUGGUGGGGUAGUGGCUUACCAAGGCUUUGACGGGUAGCCGGCCUGAGAGGGUGACCGGCCACAGUGGGACUGAGAUAGGGCCCAGACGCCUACGGGAGGCAGCAGUGGGGAAUAGUGCACAAUGGGCGGAAGCCUGAUGCAGCAACGCCGCGUGCGGGAUGACGGCCUUCGGGUUGUAAACCGCUUUCGCCUGUGACGAAGCGUGAGUGACGGUAAUGGGUAAAGAAGCACCGGCUAACUACGUG